UGGAUAUUUUUCCAAUACACGGGAGGCUGCUGAUCGCUGGCUUAUGGACAUUGGGGCCAUUUUGUUUGUUCCUUAAAAUCGUGUUAAUGUUGCUGCCAUCUCGCAGUAUAAAACCACGCUGUUGCUACAAACUAAGAAUUCACUGAAAAACUCAGUUAUUGGAAUACAGUUACAGAAAUCUUUCUGAUUCAUCAGCGUAGCUGUACUGAUUAGGGGCAACAGCAGCACUGCCACAGCCAGCUUACUCUCUGUCAAUAAACCUGUUGUUUGGGUCUGGAAACAUAACAGUUAAAAUCUGCCACUGUUUCUGCGUUCGCAACAUCUCAUCCAAGAGCAGGACUGUCACACGUCCAGAUACACCUUCUUCUACCCAGAAACUUUGUGCUGUCCCAAAAGGAAGAAGGGUACAGACAUUGUGUAUUGCCUGCUGAAUCUGAGAAACCAAAGAGAAUCUGUUUAAACUGGAAUUCCCUACUGUGGAUAAGAAACAGUGGUUGUUGGUGAC
ensembl:lncRNA